rnacentral:rRNA from 1 species
GACGAACGCUGGCGGCGUGCUUAACACAUGCAAGUCGAGCGGAAAGGCCUCUUUCGGGGGGUACUCGAGUGGCGAACGGGUGAGUAACACGUGAGUAACCUGCCCUUGACUUUGGGAUAACUUCAGGAAACUGGGGCUAAUACCGGAUAGGAGCUCCUGCUGCAUGGUGGGGGUUGGAAAGUUUCGGCGGUUGGGGAUGGACUCGCGGCUUAUCAGCUUGUUGGUGGGGUAGUGGCUUACCAAGGCUUUGACGGGUAGCCGGCCUGAGAGGGUGACCGGCCACAUUGGGACUGAGAUACGGCCCAGACCCCUACGGGAGGCAGCAGUGGGGAAUAUUGCACAAUGGGUGGAAGCCUGAUGCAGCAAUGCCGUGUGCGGGAUGACGGCCUUCGGGUUGUAAACCGCUUUCGCUCAUGACGAAGCUUUGUGUGACGGUAGUGGGUAAAGAAGCACCGGCUAACUACGUG